UACGUAGGGUGCGAGCGUUAAUCGGAAUUACUGGGCGUAAAGCGUGCGCAGGCGGUUUUGUAAGUCAGAUGUGAAAUCCCCGGGCUCAACCUGGGAACUGCGUUUGAAACUACAAGGCUAGAGUGUAGAAGAGGGGGGUAGAAUUCCACGUGUAGCAGUGAAAUGCGUAGAGAUGUGGAGGAAUACCGAUGGCGAAGGCAGCCCCCUGGGCUAACACUGACGCUCAUGCACGAAAGCGUGGGGAGCAAACAGG
rnacentral:rRNA from 1 species